UACAGAGGGGGCGAGCGUUGUUCGGAAUUACUGGGCGUAAAGGGCGCGUAGGCGGCCUUCUAAGUCGAACGUGAAAUCCCCGGGCUCAACCCGGGAACUGCGUCCGAUACUGGGAGGCUUGAAUCCGGGAGAGGGAUGUGGAAUUCCAGGUGUAGCGGUGAAAUGCGUAGAUAUCUGGAGGAACACCGGUGGCGAAGGCGGCAUCCUGGACCGGUAUUGACGCUGAGGUGCGAAAGCGUGGGGAGCAAACAGG
rnacentral:rRNA from 1 species